AAAAAAAAAUUUAAAAAAAAAAAAAAAAAAAAAAAAAAAAAAAAAAAAAAUACUGCCUGCUGUAGGUAGAUGUAUAUGGUUACAGAUGGGUGUCAUUACCGUUGGAGUGGAUGGGAAGGCAUUCCUUGAGUAUCUUUGUCCUUCUAACAUCUAACUUAAUUAUUAUUGCAAUUCAAGGAUUCUACUGGUCUAAGCCUGAAAACAACAUAGUGAGUGUUUAGAAGAUCUACUGCUUUUUAUUCACUUGCUACUAAUAUGUAAAUCCAAAGACAGCUAACACCACAUUUUUUUUCUUGUUGCCUCACUUUUUUAACAGAUUCACCAGAUUGUCGCAUCCUUCGUGCACAGAUGAUACAUAUGGUCAUUGGGUCGAAUUACAUGGUUAGAGAUUUUGAAUCUUGCUUUUAAGAUAGGGUAAAACACUGAAUUCUCUAGCCAAUCUCUCUUUUCAGACCACAUUUUAUAAUAGUGUUUUGGGAAAUCAAGGACAUAUUAUUAGUACCUAGUGAAUCUUUUUACUUUUCCCCCUCUAUAUACAAAAUGAAAGUGAUAUAUAUAAAAAUGUAUAAGCUUUAGACUAGCAAGAGCCAUUGACUGAGUACGAGGGAAAGUGAUAUUUAUAAAAAUGGGUAAGCCCUUAGACCAGCAAAGAGGUCUUUUGAGGGUGAUGGAUCAUCCAUUACCCUCGAGAACAAAACUGUGCAGACUGGAUCCAAAGCGGACAAUAUCUUGCUAGGCCUAAAAUGCCAUAUAUAAUGAGUAAAAUCACUUAACUUCUAAUAAAAUGAUUAAAUAGUUGAUGUUUUCAUACUAUAGAAACUAAAUAAUUUCUUCCAAAAAUAGAAUAACUUACGGGAUAAUGGUAAUAUUUACCCCUCUACUUACCUCUACUUACGGGAUAAUGGUAAUAUUCAGGUUUACAGAUUCAAGUGGCAGGACAAAUUCAAGCUUGAGUUAAUGUUCAAAUUAACACUCUCCUGAGGCCACUAAGAGGUUCAGCGAACACAAGGUCGCGAAGCAAUCCAAAUUCCGCAAUUGUCCAGUGUUUUUGCAUGAAAUGCGGCUCUCAGCUGUCAAGGCUUGUGCCUUGUUCUUGACAAGAGUUAUAACAUGCUCUAGACAAUAUUGUAGUCUUAUUCAAUUUUAAAUCAAUCAAGGGAAGCAAUGAAACAAUUUUAUGCAAAUUAUAUUACACUUUCCAAUUUAUGACUUGGUCUGAGGCAGAUAUUGAAUCAUGCCAAUAAAAAAAAAAUUAAAAAAAAAAAAAAAAAAAAAAAAAAAAAAAAAAAAAACACUAGAAAAGCUCUAAUAUUCGAGAAUCUCAUCGUAAAGCAAUAGUAUGAUUUACACAUUCACCCAAUACUCAGGGUUGUUAAAAUUGUGAACAUAUUUAAAUAAAUAUGAAUUUGGAUUGUAAUUAUAUCUAUUUUUAAGUGUAAUCCUUAACAUAUUUUAAAAACAAGGUGAUGUAAUUUACAUAACAUACCAGGAUCAUUAAUGUUUAAUAAUAAUUUGUUUCUCUAAUCCUCAAAUAGGACAUACCUCGGAAGCACAAGCAAUGCAAGGUACCAAAGAUGUCAAAACCAACUUGAAAUCCUGUGUGGUUUCAAAUGUUCGCAAUUCAUCAAUCAACGAGCUGCUACUUCAGUUGAUAGGAACUGCUUCCUAUCAAUAAAGAUUUAUGUUUGUUUAGAACUGAAACUCUCCUUUUCAAAUAACUCUUAACGAUAGAAAAGAUACCAACUCAAAUUUUAAGUUACCUUCGUGCAAGAAUUUCUCUGUUGAUCAAAUAAUGAGAGGCCUUAUCCAACACUGGGCAGAGACUUGACUACAAGUAACAUCAAUAGCAAUCUUGCAGUUUCCAGCUACAAAUUCAACUUGAGAUAUAAAAAGAUGCAGAUGCAUUAUAUUCUCACUUCCCAGGGAGGUCACUCCACAUCUGCCUAGCAAAGCAGCUCAUCUGUGCUAGUUGCUCACGAUUGGCUUGUAAAAUGCACCAUAUGCUACAAUCACAACAAACUUCUCUGUGCGGCUUGGGAUAGAUCAUAGUAAGUUUCUGUGUGAACGCUUCAACCUAAUAUGAAGGACAAAGAAAUCAAAAUGCAAACAUUAGAAAAUAUGCUUAAAAAACAAGUGAACAAUAGAUAUGAAGAAAACUCAAAUCCCAAGUCUCCAACGAAAUGAUUUUGUGAACUCAGACUAAACUUUCUUCAUAUCUAACAACAUAUUAGAUAUGAAGAAAGUUUAGUGAGUUGUAAUUUCCUGGCACUCUAUGUGAUUCUCCAAUCCAUUGUCUCUAGUUAACUGUGUCAUUUCGAACUAAUCCACCACUUUGUAAAGCUUGUUGAUAAAGUUCAUGCAACUUAAUUGAUGUAUUGAUCAGCAUAGCCAUUAUCGUCCCAAGCAUACUAAUUCAGGUAUUUAACCAAUCCUACCAAAGAACUAACAUAAUUGAUGAGAAACCCAAUUACGAAAAUGAUUAUGCAAUAUCAUUCAUGCAAUCUUUACUAUUUCAAUAUUGAUAACCAAUAAAUAUUCCUCCAUUUAAAUUGAAAAUUAAAUUAAAUGAUAAAAUAAGGGCAAAAUCAAGGAGUUCACAUGCAGCACUUGAUGUUGAGAUCGUGUUUUGGGGAGUUUGAGCUAAAGAUUGAUAAGGACAGAGACAAGACCUACAUACCGCCGCAUAAUCAUCAACACUAGGAGGAAUCUACCCAGCUAACUGCUGCUUCUUUCUUGAUAUUAUUCCUUUCCAUUAUUACUCUUAUUUCUGAUGCAUUUUCCCAUUGUCCCAUAUCGGCAUACAUGUUGUAUAACAAGACAUAUGGAACUGAGCUAUCUGGUUCGAGUUUCAUUAAUGCUUCAGCAGCAAUACGGGCAAUCUCUGCAUUGUUAUGGACCCUAGAAGCACCCAAUAAUGCACCCCAAACAGCCUUAUCUGGCUUAAAUGGCAUGCCAUUGAUCAAAUCCAAGGCCUCUUCAAGCUGUCCAUGCCGACCCACAAUGUCAACUAGGGAAGAGAAGUGUUCAAUCCUUGGCUCGAUGCCAUAUUCACUAACCAUGGAUUUAAAUAUCCCUCGACCUUCUUCAACCAGUCCAGCAUAAGCACAGGCAUUCAGAGCAGAAAUAAAUGUUAUAUAAGUAGGCUGCACUUUGGAAAUUCUCAUUAAUUUGAAAAGUUCCAAGGCCUCUGCAGCAUAACCAUGGGAUGCAUAUCCUCCAAUCAUUGCAUUCCAAGAAAUUACUUCUUUAUGCGGUUUCAUUUCAUCAAAAAUGGUCCAUGCCUCAAUUAUUGCCCCACAUCUUGAGUACAUCGUGAUGAGGGCAUUAUUCAAUGGCACAUCUGGGAUAACUGUCUUUCUGACCAGCUGAUGAAUCUGCAUACCCAAGUGCAGAUCCACAAUUCCAGAAGAUGCACUGAGAAGCGAAGAUAAUGUGUGUCGGUCAGGUUUCUCUCCUUCAACUUGCAUCCGAAAGAAGACCUUAAUUGCUCCUUUAUAAUCCUCCUUCUUCUCAUGCCCCGCAAUCAUGGAAUUCCACGACACCAAAUUCUUCUGGGGCAUCCUCUCAAAAAACUCAUGAGCAAGUUCCAAAUUACCUACCAGGGCAUGUCCUGAUAUCAUUGAAUUCCAUGAAAAGGAAUCAGGAUUUGGCAUUUUGCAAAAGAGGUUUGACGCCUCCUCCAUAUCUGAGACAUGAACAUAUCCACUAAUGAUGGUAUUCCAUGAAAAAGUGUCUAGUACAAUCAUUUGGUCAAAGAGUUCCCUAGCAGAAACAAUAUCUCCAGCCUUCACAUAGCACAUUAUCAUGGUAUUCCAUGACACCACAUUUCUCUCAAACCUCCCUUUACUUCCUUUUUGUUUGUCAUUAUUACUUGGCAUCUUAUCAAAAAGUUUCCGAGCUUCAUCCACCCUUCCUCUUUGACCAUAUCCCGCAAUCAAAGUAUUAUAAGCAUGCACCAACUCCUCUUUCCCACUAUUAUUAUUUCCAUAGUCAAGCAAAAUUUUUGCAGCUUCCUCAAGCUUCUCAUUAUGAAUAAGACCCGAUACAAGUGCACUCAACGAUGUUGAAUCCCUCUCUGGCAUUCUCUCAAAAAACUCAAUUGCACGCGCCACAUCACCAUUUUGCAAAAAACCAGAAACUAUAGCAUUCCAAGAAACAGCAUUUGGCUUAGGCAUUGUAUUAAAAAGCUGCAGAGCCUCCUCUAUUCUCCCAUUCCUUGCAUACCCACUAAUCAUUGUGUUCCAAGAAACGCAGUCCCUCUUUGGCAUUUUAUCAAACAAGCACCUUCCCUCCUCUAUAAACCUCUUCCCACGACAUGACACAUACCCCGAAAUCAUCAAAUUCCACGACACAACAUCCCUCUUUGGCAUUUCAUCAAAAAGCUUUCUUGCUUUAGUCAUCUCACCCUGUCUCGCAUACCCACUGAUCAUUGAGUUCCAUGAGAUGGUGUUUCUUUGCUCCAUUUUAUCAAACAAUGCCCUUGCAUCAUUAAUCUGACCUGUCUGGUUGAAACGCGUGAUUUUUUUAUUCAGGGAAAACAAGUCUCUGUCGCAAUCAUUAAAUGAACUCUUUGAUUUUGGAGCCGAUGCAAAACAGCUAGCUUCUAUGCUGAUGUAUGGCUUCCGUCUAGUCUGAAGCUUCCAUUUGCAUGAUGCGCCAAGGGCAAUUCUCAACCUGAGCAUAAUUUACAGAACAAGUUUACUGAACCUCUAAGAUUCAUUCAGCAACUGAUGAAUUAAACAAUCAAACUUUUUAUCAGAAAGUUAUUCAUUUUCUUAAUAUAUUUAGUUUUGCUCAGGUCACAUCACACGCUUGUCACACUCUUAACUUCUGAAACCAACAAAAAGAAUUAGGCGGUUUCAAAAAACGGUCAUCUAAUGGAACCUGCCAUAUUUGUCAAGCUAACUAAGAGUUUUCUUCACCUGUUCAACCUAUAAAAAUUUUUAAAACAAUUAUAAUCUACUAAAAAAAUAUUUUUUUUUUUAUAAAACUAAUAAUUGGCUAUAAAUAAAGGACAAUAUAAUUACCAAACCAGAAAUUACUAAUGCCACAGCUAGAUAUGUUAUUGACUUUUGAUUUGACAAUACUAUCUUAUAUGUAAGACGAUACUAUCCUUAUAUGUAAUAUUCUAAAUUUAUCAUUUUAUACUCUUAAAACUAUUCUUAUUAACUUCAAAUCUAUUCAUCUAUUUUUAUAUCAAUUCCAUACACAAUUUUUUCAUAUAGCCGACCCCCACUAGUUUGGACCUAAGGCUUGGUGGUGGUGGUUGUUUUUCCAUAUACAAUUUUUUCAAGAGAGAAAUAUUAACUUUGACAAACAUAUAAUAGCUAAACCUAAUACUUGUUUCAUCCUAUUAAUUAAUAAUGAAAAUUCGAAAAUCAGGACAACAAAAUUUAAAUGCAGAAAUAAAUAAAUAAAUAAAUAAAAUGAAAUUCUCAAGAAUACAUAUCAAACUAAAAAAUUUAAUUGUCUUCUUUAAUAAAAUAAUAAAAAAUGAACAUUAUUUUUCCCCAUUAAAUUUAUUCUUCUAAAUCCCUGAAAAUGUUAUUUUCCAGUUAACUCUGGUACCUGUUUAUAAAAUUAAAAAACAUUUCACAUGAACUAUAUAUUUUAGCUGCUUUUAAAAAUUUCACAUGACUAUACCAAAAUUUCCCUAAUCUCAGUUCCUUUGCAACCAAAACAUUUUUCCAUUCCUAUGGUUUGUUUAUUAACUGAACUAGCCAGUAUCUUACUGGUAGAUAAUUUGAUUUGGUAUAAUUUACUCAAAAAUCAAGUUGAAAAAAAAAAGCAGAACAUAUAUCCUCUCUUAUAAAAUGCUUACCGUGAGGAAAAUGAUAAAAUUACAGUCACGCAAAGAAGGCAAUACCAAAUAUGGAUUUUCUUUCUUUUCUUGCAUGUUCCCAAACAACUAAAGUGAUCUCUAGCCAUAUUUUCUCAGCCACCAAAAAAUUAGAAAAUAUAAUUACAGAAUUCUUAAUAUGCAAUUCGCAAAGUAAAACAAAUUAAAGAAGAGCUAAAAAAUGAAAAAGAAGGAUUGCUCACAUAGAUGUUGACAGUGAACUAAGUCGCUGCAGGACUGCACCUGCCAACAUAUUGAAUGGUGGUCAAAGACCGCUUUUGCUUCCUCCCAUUUUGAUUACUGCACAAAAAAUACCGGCAUAAAGGCUGUCAAGUAAAAGAGAUUCUCUAGAUUUCUGUCUCAGAUUCUAUAUCAAACAUGAAAAUAGAAAUUUGAGGCAAACGACAAUCAAUUUAUCUAAGAAAAGAUGAGUAAACAAAAAGUUAAAGUGAAAUGUGUCCAAUAAUGAACCUGAAUUCACAAAAUCAAAAAUAAUUGUUGCCUUCUUCCCUUCUAACUCUUCAAAAUUUCAGCUCUUUCAUUCAAAAUCUUCCCAAUCUCUUGCUAAUUCUGGAUAUUCAUGGAGUCUGGAAUCAAACGGUUAACAGAGAGGGUAGUUUCAUUUUUAUUUCAUCAAAAUUUGAUGAAAUGGAACAAAACUUGGGAUUUGGUUUGGGAAAUCACAAGGAAGUGUUGAAUUGAGAAGAAAAUAUUUAGAACUUUGAGAAGAGGACUUGGGUUGGUUUUUUGCUUAGUGACAUAAACAGGUUAGGAGGAAUGUGGCCUUUUUUUCACUCUUUUUUUGAAUGAAUUUCAAUGUUUAAGAGUAAAAGGUCAUAAAAAAAUUUAAUAAUAGUUGGACUUGUGCGGAGCUCGCCCGCAUGCAAGGUCCAACUUUAAAUAAAUAAUUAGUCAUUUAUCAGCAUAUUGUGGAUGGCAACGGGUCAGGUACACAAAAAGUGUCGUAUCCCAAUCCAAACUCACUUAAAUAUAAGGUACCUGAAUCCAUUUAAAAAAUUACCCCUGCAUUACCCAUAUUCGUCCCAAAUUGAAUUAGCAUUACCCAUUUGCAAUCCGGAUUCAUAGAAACAACCGUUUAACACAAAAUGAACAAAAUGCAUACAACACACAAUACACUAAACUGUAUAAACACUUGAUUAUUAUCGAACCCUUAUAAAAUAAAGAAAAUAGCAUGCUGUUAUUUUUACCACUCCAAUUGUCAGAAAUUGUAUGUAAUUACAUAGUUUUUACAAUUCAAAGAAACUUCAAGAAUCUACUAACUUAAUUAUAUAAUGGAGAGCAAGAAUGAAUACAUUUAAACUCCAGGUCUACGAAUAUGUGGCCUGUAAGUAUUUGGUCAAUAUAGUUUCUUGAAUCCCUGGACAAAAGAGACAGCUUAUUUGAUGAAAGUAAAAAUUAUUUAACUGCUGAAAAAGAAGAAUGCAUAAUGCAAUAAUGCAAUGUAUAGAGAAUGUAUAAUACAGUGUUGAUAUAUGGUUGUUAUUAGUUGUGUUUUCCAAUGCUUAUUUGUAGCAGUUCAUAUUAGUGAAGGUCUCACUGAUUACCUAAAUAAACCAAAUGAAAUAUAGGCAAUUUGAAUUAAUUAGUAAUCUUUAUUUCCUUGUGUAUGAGCUAAUGGAAAAUUUCUACAAAGGAGAGAGGGAGAAUAUGAAGAAUCAAUGUUAGAUUGUUGUUCCAGGAUUAGAUUUCAUUCCCAUCUGAACUUUGGCAGUCUUACAAAUCAGUUUCUAAUUUUGUGAAACUUAUGAAAAUUGUUCUGCAUGCCUACUGUAUAAAGUUUAUGCAUCUUUUGUCAGUUCAACUAAAGAAAAUAACACAUGCUGAUUUUACUUUAAAUAUUAAAUAGUAGCAUUUUUACGGAAAAGCCUUACCCUACAACCUACUGAGGAUGAUUUUGAUCAGAAGAUACAUAUUUAUUGAUCAAUCGUUUAGGUUUUUCAAUGAAAUUUUUGAAAUGCAUUUAGAAUUAAAUGCUUAACAGAAUCAUUUAGAUCUUUAGAAGUUAAGGAUUUUAAUCAACUUGCUUCAAUUUCACUCAUUUAUGUAUAAUUUUCUUGGUGUCUUUGCAAUUACAGAUACCAUCCAACACUUAAGUACAAAGAAUUCUGUACACUGGGAUGAUUCUAUUGUCAUUAAACUUGUUUUGACCGGCAUUUUAAGGAACUGAUUUUUCUAAACAAGAUUUACAAUCAGCAACAAAGAUAAAAAGAAACAAAAGAAAAGAAAUAAAAACUGCAGAAACAGGACAAGACAAAACCAGCAAAAAGAACAAAAGGAAACCAAAAACCAAAAAGAACUAAAGCGGCAAAACCAAACCAAAGAAUAAAAUAAGGCCCAAAGCAGCAGUAACAGUUUAAAAAAAAAAAAAAAAAAAAAAGAAAAAAGAAAAAAAGAGCAUAAGAAACCAAUUAACUUAGUCUAUCAUAUCAACGGCUAUUUACAUUCACAAAAUCAAACCACAUACUCAAUUUACAGUAAAGUGAAGAAAACAAAAAACGAAAUUAUUGACAGAGCUUUAACUUUAACAGUAACAAAAAUACCUUGCGAUUUGCGAGCCACAGAGCUAGUCUUGAACGAGACACAGAGCUUGUCGGCGGAGAUCGCCGCUCUUGAGGCGCGCUCGUCACUCGUCGGAUAAAAGGCAACAGGCAAAUCGAAGAUGAGAGACUAAGGCAACAAGAGAAAAAAUCAGAUCGAGGCAAAACUACUGCCUCGCGAAGAACGAAUUGAACUUUGAUUUAAAAAGUUAAUUCAAAACGACGUGGUUUGGUUAAGGCAUUUUCUGUGUCAAAACUUCGUCGUUCUGGUAGUGAAGUGUUAGUUAUUUUCUUCCUUUCUUUUUCUGGCCUAAUACAGAGAGAUAAUUAAAAUUUUAUGUAAUUCAGUUAUAAAUUUAAUUUUUAUAUCUGAUAUGCAAAAACUAAAAAUUUAAAUUUUGUGAAUUUAAUUCUAUAAUAUAAUUAAAUUAAAUUUCAUAAAAAAGUGAAAUUUUAGAAUGAAUUUCAUAAAUUUAAACAAUAUAUUUUCGCAGAUAAUAGUAGAUAAGUUCUUGAUGGGCUUAAAUCUAUGUUUCUGUAUUUUACACAACCAGCAAUUGAACAGAAAAAAAAAACAUUCGACCAUAAAAUGACAAGCAUCUAUUCCAAUCAAAAUUAUUAGUGAUCCAAGUUAUCAAAUGGGCCUCAAAUAUACACAAAGCCCAAACACAACAGAUACACACUCAUCAUCCUUAUAUUUAUUCAUCAAGUGGGCCCAAGCCAGCAGGAGGCGGUUACCAAAUGUACAAAGUUAAAUAUAUAGAGUAGAUACAACAGCUGCUAGCAUCUGCUUCUUGAAUGUUUUCACUGUAUUGAACUAUUCUACAAUACAAUUUUUGUCUCCAUUAAUACACUGUUUCAGUUUUCUCUUUCUCUGGUGAAGAAUGCUUUGAUAAUCUCAUCAGUUAGCAAACCUCAAUAAUCUUUUUUGUUGUUAAAAUUUUGAUUAACAGCCUAGCCUGAUAUGGUGGUGACAAUUCUAAAUGAAAACAUAACCAAUAAUUAAAAAAAAAAAAAAAAGAAAUAAAAAUACCUAUGCUUUUAUUGUGUUUCAGCCAUUCAUUUUGUUAAGAUUUGAUGGGAGGUUUAAAUUGAUAUAAUCUUAAAUUCAUAUAUUGAAUUGAAAAAAUUACGAAAUCAAAUCGAAGAAAAAGUAAACUUUCUUUUUAUUUGAUGCAAAUUGAAUUGCUUAGCGUGACUAAUAAACUACAGGCCCAUUUUGGCCCAUUCUCCAAAUUUUGGGCCCUCAUACUGGGCCUAAACGCACUCGUACUUUUACCCAAUUCCUCUUUGGCAAAAACCCAUAACUAUAAAUUUCCAUCUAUCUCUGGUAGGAAAAAGAUAAAAUUCCAACUAGUCCAUGAGGUUCAGCCAACUGUACAGUUUCAUCCCAAUAUUUAAAAAUAAAAGGAAUUAAGGAGUCCCAAAAUUUAAUUCCAUUAAUGAAAUAAUAUUUUUAUUUCCAUAGACCUGGUUUAGGUAGGUCUAAACCUUAUUAUAAUUAAUAUUAAUUAACCAAUAGUCAAUAAAUAUUUUUUUGAAAAAUAUAAUUCAUUAACUAUAAUAUCAAACAUUACGAAUAAUCAUAUAGAUCAGACAAUGAAUUUUACUAUCAUAAGCUAAUAGAGUUCGUUGAUCUUUUAACAAGCUAAAAUAAUUAUAUAUAUUCUUUUGAAUGAUAAUACUAAAUAUAAGAAAAUAUAAUAUUAUAUCUUUCCACUUGAAGAUGAUCUUGAUAAAAGAUAUAAAUAUUCUUAUUACCAACUAGUUUUUUAAUUGAUUUGGAUAGUAAAAUAAUAAUUACUUUGGAUCUUUUAUAUCUGAAUUGUUUUUAGCUAAAUUGUUUUUUCAAGGACUUGUAAUAUAUAACAUACACAUAUGAAUUCUCGCCAACAUACAUCAAUAGUAUCAAUAGAGGAACAAGUCGCACUAUUAGACUUCGUUGAUCAAAGAUUCACAUUUACAAAUCAAUAUCAAAAGUUUCCAACCAAAUAAAAUCAAAUAUUAUACUUUUAUUUAUAAUAAACUCUCAUACAGAAGGAACAAAAAGCUCUAAAUACGGAAACAAAAUAACAAUAAUAAAAAUCAAAACAAAUAUAUUAUAUGAUAAAUAGAUAUGAAUUUAUUAAAAUGGCUAAGAGAAUUUAAAAGAGAAAAAGAGAAGAAGUUGAAUCAAAGGAAAAAAAUAGAAUGUAGGAGAUUAUCACUAAUCAACAUCAAGCGGCCACAAACUAAAUUUUUAAACAUUUUAUAAAUUUCAAUCAAUGACUUCGUUAUUUUAGGUGUCUCGUCAUGCCGAAGAGAUAAUAAAAAAUCAAAAUUCGAAAGACUCAAGAAAGAUCAUCUUUUCACCAUUCAUAUUUAAAUAUAAUAUAUAUAACGGCAGAGCUUCUUAUGGUCGAAAGGUCGCUGGGCAAUUCUAAGAAAUUUUUUUUAAAAGAAAAAUUCUUAUGAAAUAUUAUAUUUUGGUCUUUAAAAAUAUAAAAAAAUUAUAUUUUGAUACCCUAAAAGUUUUUAAAACUUCAUUUAGCUUGUUUAAAGUAAUUGUCUUAGUUCUGUGCUGAAUAUAUAUAUAUAUAUAUAUAUAUAUAUAUAUAUAUUAAAUAUUCUAUGUAUUAUCCCUAUCACAUUUGCAUUGAUAACCAGGACAAGAAGCUUGUAGCCAAAUGUUAGAGUACUGACAACUAAUUCCCACUGUGAAAUGUUUUAUUAGCCUCUGAUCAUCAAUGAUUAAGUGGCCCACUUGUUUUAAUUUGUCCAGAACUUAUGGAAUAAUUAAUCAAGUAUUAAUAAUUAUUUUUGGAAGCGAACAUUCUAGAUAUACCUUUUUUCUCUUGUUCAGCUACUGCAACAUUUUUGUUGGAGAAUCAAGAACUUAUGGCUUAAAAUAUUCGCAUAUACUAUAUUAAGUACUCCCAUCUUCAAAAUAGUUCAUUUUCUAUUUUUACACAGAUUAAAAAAAUAAUAAUUAUUAUGAGUUUUGACAAUUCUAUUCCUAUAACUUUUCUAUCAUACCAUUUUAAAUAACAUAUGAGCAAUUAUUAUAUUUAAAUAAUAAGUAAAAAUUAAUGAGGGUUAUUGAAAAUAAGAAAAAAUUUAAUAAGGGUAUAAUAGACAAUUUCAUGAUUAACUAUAAUACAAAAAAGAAAAAUAAACCAUAUUUUAGGACAAAUUAAAAAGAAAAGAUGAAAUAUUUUUUUGAGGCAGAUCUAUUAUUCUUCUCACAAUAAUGAUUUUAUAAGUACAGUUUUUUUUUUUCUUUAUACUCAAAUGAUAUGAGAAGCUAAUUUUAUAAAAAACGAAGAUUAAUUUGUCUUUGAAUUUGUUUAAUAGGAUAAAAAAUGUCAAGAUUUGAUCUUUUUAGAUCAAUUUAACAUCUAAACUUAUUUAAAAUAAUUAAAAAGAUCAGAUUUAAUAUUUUGGAUUAAUUUAGUCCCUGACUAUUCGCUGUAUUUAUAACGUGAGAAUUCUUAUAUAGACAUUUAUUAAAAUUAUAGUUGGAAUCACGUGGUAUAAUUUAUUGAAAAAUUUAAUUAAAUAUCAAAUUGAGGAAAUAAUAUAUGAAAUAUAUUAUAUCCCUCUUUAUCUUGAUCUAUCAUUUUAAAUUCAUAAAUAUGUACUAAUUUAAAUAUUUUAAAAUUGAACUUUACUACUAGAUUAUUGCAUAUGCAGUUCAUGCAUUUCUCAUGUUAAACGAAUUCAAAGUUACACUACAUAUUUUAUAAAUUUACUGUGUUAAAGAAAUAAUAUUUUCGUGAUUUUAAAAUUCUAUUCAGAAGUAUUGGAAAAGUUUGAUCUAGAUAUUCCUAUUAAAUUGAAUCAAUUUAUUAUUUUGUAAAAAUCAAAAUAAAUUUAGUGGCUGAAUUGAUUUAAAAAAAAUCAAAUCUGACUUUUAAAUCCCAUAAAUAAGUUCGUGAGCUAAAUUAGUCUUUAUUCCAUUUUAUAACCACAAAGUCGUGUUUAAAAUUUUAAACAAUAUGGUUCUUAUGUUGCCUGUAACGGUUUCGUAUGCUCUAGUAGCUUUCUCUCUUUUGUCCAAGGUUUCUUGUCCUGCCAACAUGGAGAGGGACUUUAAUCAUUUGUCAAUCGCUGAUGAUGAGGAAGAAGGCUUGCCUGUUAACGCAUCUUCAGAUGCCACCAAGUCUACCUACGAAUUUUGUCUUGUCGACAUGUUCUUGACUUGCGGGACUGUGAAUUUUUAGUCCAUGCGAAACACUUUCGCAGAUUUGUGGCAUUCGCUCGGAGGGAUUAUAAUUACUGAUUUGGGAGCCAAACGUUUUCUGUUUCGGUUCUACAACAAAGUGGAUUUGGAUAGGGUUUUGAAUGGUGCCCCAUGGACUUUUAAUCGACACUUGCUGGUAUGGGGUCUGAUAAAAAAUGAUGAGGACCCGCUGCUGAUUCCUUUGCUAUACUCGGAUUUCUGGGUUCAGGUACAUAACUUGCCGGUCGGGUUAAUGUCUGCGGCAGUGGCCAAAUCAAUAGGGAAUUUCAUUGGUACUUUCAUUGAAUAUGACAUUAAGACUGUUCAUUUUGAUCCCAAUCAAUUUAUGAGACUGCAGGUUAAGUUGGAUAUUCGUACCUUUACGUAGAGGAAAGAAGUUGAUUGAUUCUAAUGGUAAUGUUCAUUAUGUCCAAUUCCAGAAUGAAAAACUUCUUGUGUUUUGCUAUACUUGCGGUCGCUUGGGACACACCGAUUCGUUCUGUAAAUUACAAUUGCACAAGUCUAAAAAAGAACUCAAGCCAGCUUGGGAUGAUCGAAUAAGGGUGCCGAUUCGCCGGAAAAUUCAGCAAACAACCAUGGCUGCAUGAUGAUAGAAAGUUUGAUGAUACUCCAAUCCAGGCAGAUAUUUCGGGAUGUGUGGGCGGGAAAUAUGGAGUUUUGAAAUCCCAACAAUUUUGAGCUUCCUUUUAUGGCACGAUAGUUAAUUUUAAUGUUAGUACUAAUCCCAUAGGCUUUAUGGAGACUGAUACAAAUUCUUUGAAUGGGUCCAAUACUGAUGGGCUUGACGAGGAUGUGGUCUUAGAAGAUGUGGGUGAAAUGAAGAAGAGGCCCCGAUGAUCCUUUUUGGUGAGGGUAUUAAAGUGGCUAGUGAUCCUUGAGGAGGAUCCUUUUUGCUGUAGAAUCAACGUGGUAGCUCUACUGUGGAUAUUGCCGUGAAGUACCUAUCGAAUUGGAGAGAAGUGUGUCUGCCACAUGAAGCUGCUGUGACGUCCAUUUCAGUGCUUCAUUGACAUGCACAUAAAGCACCAUCCAUUCACGCUCACAAUUUUGUUUGGAUUUGCUUCAUUGAUGGAUCAGUGUUCACAACCAUGGAUUUCAUUGGCUAUGCUUAUGUUAUUGAGGACAGUGAGGGACGGUUUCAACGUGCAGUGUCAGGGUUUCAGGAAGGCAAUGGCUCGGCGGUGGUGAUGGAGGCUAUAGCUCUUCGUUCCUGCCUUUCAUAUGCUCGUGAUUUUCUAUCUUUAAAUGGGUGUAUUUUUUCAAAUUGCCAAAAUCUUAUGAAUGCUCUCAAAUCCCAUUGUUUUAGAUAAUUUUGAAUUUGGUUUGAUUGUUCUUGAUUGUAAGCGAAUUUUAGAGUCUAGACAUGAUAUUACUGUCAGGUGGAUUCAGAGACAAGCUAAUAUGGAUGCUCACACUCUUGCUAGAGCAUCUAUACAUCAUGCUCGUUUCCAAAUUUGGGAUGAUGUUCGUCUUGUUAGUUAGAUUUUUUCCAUUGAGAUAAUGCAAUAUUAUUUCAUUUAAAACAAAUUUAAAACAAUAUAUAAAUUUUAUCAAACAAAUUUAAAUUAAUAACUCUAAAAAAUUUUAAUUUUUAGAUAUUAAAUGGUGUUAUUAGAUGUAAACUAAAUUUAUAUUGUUAUUUCAAUUUAAAUGUCUAAACAAAAUUCUCAAAUUCUUUUUUUGUUAAUAUUUUUUUGGAGAAAUAUAAUUCAUUAAUAAUAAAAGUAUUACAAAUACUCAAUUAGAUCAAAUAUAAAACUUAUUAUCAUAAUUAAUAAAAAGUUCGAUGAUCCUUCAACAAUAAAAGAAUUAUCUAUAUUUUUUUGAAUAGUAAAACUAAAAUUAAAAGAAACAGUUGGAGUUUUCCGCUUGAAAAAAACUUUGAUCGAUAUAAAUCUUCAUAGUAACAACUGAUCCUUUAAUUGAUUUGGACGAUAAAAUAACUUUUUCGAACUUUAUAUGCUUGGAUUGCUUUUUCAAAAAUUUGUUGCAUAUAACAUAUGCGGAUGAGUUUAAACCACUAUGGGUUAAUAGCAUGAAUGAAGGAACAGACUGUACUAUCAGGUUCCAUUGGUUGAAGAUACACAUCAGUAAAACAAGAUCGAAAUUCUCCAAUCAAAUAAAAUCAAAUGUCAUACCUUUUAAUAAUAAAUCUUCACAAGGAACUAAACCCUCUCAAAAGAAUGGGCAAAAAAACUCCAAAUAUGGAGACAAAACAAAUCAAUAACAAAAACAACAAUAACAAAAAUAUAUCUAUUAGAAGAAAAUGGAUUUGAGUUUAUUAAAAACAAAUAAAAGAUUAGGAGCCAGAAGAAAAAAAAAAAAAGUAUGGGGCUACUACUGAUUAACAAUGGCAACCUCAAACAAAAACUAUGAUUAAAUAAAUCAGAGAGAAAAGAGGAGGAGAGAAACCCUAAAACUAUCGAUUUUUUUUUUGUUAAUAUUUAAAAUGACGGUUUUUUUUUUUUUUUUUUUUUUUUUUGCGAAUGUUAAACAAAUCCCUAAAUAGUAUAGGUAAUAAAAUAAAAAAAAAUAUGUAUCACUUUAAUAAUAAUUUCAUGUUAAAAAAUGUUGGAAAAAUAGAGCUCUUGAAUAGGAAAAUCCGGUAUCGAAUUUUUGCUCUGCUAGGGUUUAUCACUUUAACAUUUAAAAAAAAAAAAAAACUAUUUUCAAGACAGUUCAUUUUCUAUUAUUUCUUUUUAAUAUUGAAUAUUAAUUAAAUAACUUACUUUUAAAAAUAUUUUUCCUUGACUUUUUUAAACACUUUAAAUAUAGAAAAAAUUCAAAAAUAUUUUUUAAAUAAAUUAUUUUCAAGAAAAAAUCUUGGAUAAUGGAAAUUUGGAAAAUUAGAUAAAUAAUAAUAAAACCUUAUGCACAGCAAACAUUUGUUAUAUGGUGUCCCAAGAAUAGUAAAACUUGUGGCUGAAUUUUGUAUUUCUUUUUUAGAUCACUCUCUAUCACGCUCUUAACAAUUCCCAUUUGCUGAAGUGGUCCCCAUAAAAGUAUUCUUGAUUGAGAUUUGAAUACGAAUUUCAAUUAAGUAAGCUUCAAGUUACAAACAUCAUCUUCACAAAAUUUCCUUCAUUGGUGAAGCAUUUAUCAUUUGGUAAGUUUUCUCAGAUUUAACACUAUGUUUGGAAUUGGGAGAUUUUAUGAUAGGAAGAAAAUUUUGAAUGGAAAAUAAGAAAAGAAAGCUAUUUUCCUCCUGCUUAAAUGUAAAUAAAAUUUGAAAGGAAAGAAAAUAUUACCAAAAUCCUUUCUGUCCCAUAUUUUAUUAAUCUCUCCAAAUUGGCGAGAAAAUAGGAGAUAAAUGUAUAAAAGGAUAGAAGUGUAAAUUUACAACAAUACAAUUUUCUUUCCUCCAUAUUUUAGACUUUUCUAAAUAAUAUAUAUAUAUAUAUAUUUUUUAUUUUUUUUUUUCCUUUCAAUCUAAACAUAAAAUGGAAAAUAAAGAAAAAAAGAGCUCUUGUUUUACUCGGCACAUGUACAAAAUAUAAGACAUCAAUGUGUUGAACAUGCAAAUCCCAUGCAUGUAUCUGCCAUGCAGGGAUUCAUAAUUAGCUCAACUGAAAAAUUGUUAAGAUCUUUCUUCAUUGUCUUUUUGUCAUAUAAAAAAACACGAGAAAAAUAAAAUAAAACAAGAAAAGGAAGCGCAUGCACAUGCCUGUAAAUGUAUAAUAUACAUCCAUCCAAAUGGGCAAAGAUUAGAUGCCUUCUCACCAUUUUUCCGCGCAUCCAAAACCGUAAGGGGCCACUCACACUUGAUGUGCAGGAUACUUAAAUCAGUUACGCAGCCAGAAAAUUAAAAUUAGAGAUAAAAAAAUUUUCAAGAGUUAACAAGAGUGAGAUUAAAAAUUUUAUUAUUUUAAAAGGAAAAAUAAAAAAUUUUAUUAUUUUUUAUUAUUAGACUAAUUUUAAAAGGUAAAAUAAUAUAUUUUCAUAUAUUAUUAGACUAAUUUUAUUUUAAAAUUUAAUAUUAUUUCUUCUAAGUAUUUUUUUAUGAAUAGAAAUUUUAAUAGAGAAUUAGAGAUCAUCCACUGGAUUUAAAAGUUAAAAUAUAUUUAUAAAUUAUUUCAUCUAUUACACUUAAAUUAUCAACUUGUAGCUUCUUCAUACAAAAUAAGGAGAUAAUUAAUUUAUCUUAAAUCUAUAAAAUUUUCAUUUGAAAUUAUUUUAAUAUUUAUUUUAUAAAAUAUUAUUAAGAGCGAAUGAAUAGUGAGAUCCAAUAAAGAAGAGUAAAAAAUUAAAAAUGUAAUAUACUCUUUUCUAAAUUAUAUAAAAAAAUGACACUUAAAAUAGAACAAAAAAAAAUCUUAAAAGUUAAACAGAAUAUCGGAAGUAUAAAUAAUAGAUUUUAUUUUUUAUUUUUUAAAAAUCGAAUUAAUCAGAGCAAUACUAACAAAAUAAUAUUGUAAAGUUACUUAGGACAUCCCUUCCUCUUAUCUCUCCGUGUGGUCGCUUUCAUUGGCUUCAUAAUCAUACACAUAUUCAUGGCCCACUUACGAAGCCAUCUCACAACCACAAAAUAUAAUUUUCAAAAGAAAAAUGACCGUUCGGACAGCUUGUUAAGUUUUUCCACACUUCUUCCUCACUUUCCCACUCUCUAUAACGGCUACAAUAGAAGGCUCUGGAACAAUCUACCUGUUUUAAGACGGCGGGACACGUGUAACCAAUCACAUGGGCUGCUUUUGCUCGAAAAUGGAGAAGAAUAAGCUGUAGUGUUACUCUUAGAUGUGAAUUAUUUGCUUCAAAUGAUGCUUUAGUUGUUUCUAGUGAAAAUAGAGCAAUAGUAAUUUUUUUUUUUUACCAUUUAAUAUGAUGUACAAUGAAUUUUUUACACUAUGUACUAUUAUGCAGCAGUUACAACAUUUUAAAGUCCAUCAAAUAGUAUAAUCCAUUAGAAAAUCCAAUAAAUUUCUCAUUGCUCUUUUGAAUAAUAUUUACUAUAUUUGUGCAUAUUAAUUAUUAAAAAAAAUUUAUUUACACCCGGUGUUUGGAUCUAUUUAUACAUCAAAUCAAUCACAAAUAAUAUUUUGAUUUAAUCAAAUGUAUUUCUAAUCAUAUAUUAAAAAAAGAUAAAAUAAUAAUUUUUUUGAUUGGUUUACUGAAUGAGACUACCCAUAUACUAAGUGUUGAUAAAAAUUUCCUUAAUUAUUAUAGAAAAGUUAGAAAUAAUUCAAUCGCUUUUCCUUAACUUACUUUUUUGCACUUAAUGUAAUAAAAAAAACUUCAAAACUUUAAUAAUGUAAAAUGAUUCUUACUAAAUUGUAUAGUUAAGUCUAAUAGGAUUGUUGAGACUUUGGUUCUUAAUUUAUGAAAUUUCAAUUUUUAUCCUAAAAAAAAAAAAACAAAGUAACAGGAAAGCUCAUAUAAAUGAACAUGCAAGAGAAAAAAAAAUCAUUUUUUAACUAAAGUAAAUUAUUGCAUACUUCCCUCCUAGAUUACUCUGAAAAAUAAAAAAUAAAAUACACAAAAUUAAAAAUAUACGAGCUUUGUUAACAGAUACAUAUUACGUACAUUUACGAUUACAUUCUUAGCAUAAUAUCAAAAUUUUCAAAAACAUUACAGUUCUUUUAUUCUAUUUACAUUGUAAGUAUCUCUCUACACAGAUUAUGCCAAAAAUACUUUUUGAAUAUCAGUUAAUCAGAUUUAAAAUAGAAUCAGGUGCAGGUGAUAUUACUUAAAAAAAUAAUAUUUCACUGUGCCACGGCAUAUAAGAUAAAAGUGUAAUCGGCAUAUAAGAAGGCACAAAAUCAAGAGAGUUGACAUGAAUGGACUGCUGUUGGGAGUGUGAGUUGGACGGAUUUGAAAUAAAGAUAAGAGGAAAGGCAUAGGUGGGACCUGUUUACUGUGCCACAGCAUGAACCGUGAUGUUUUUUGCCAGCUGGUGGACACGUGAUUCUUGAUUAGUUCAAUUACUGCAUUUGAUCAAACAUGGCCCCACUCUUUGAAUAUUUAAUUUAAGAAAAAAACCCAACCAGAACACCUCAUAUUUCCUGACUGAAAUGCUUGCUUGCUGCGGGCUACUACAAUAUAUAAGAUAUAUCUAUACUGAAACCCUUUAUCUUUAAUUGGCAUUAUUAAAAGAUUUUGUAACCUUACACCGUGGAAAUACUGGAAAUGACAAUUUUAACUCAUUUAAAUGUAAAAGUUAAUUAACAAAUUUAUUUUGGAUAAUUUAUACAAAAUAUGAAUAAAUAUUGUAUUUCUAAAAUAUAAGUCGUUUAAAGUAUUGCAUGCGAUUAAUGAAUCAAUUAAUUUCGCUAAAAAUUAUAUCACUCCGUCUCAAAAUUUAAGUUGUCUAAGGUGAUAAUUUUAUCACAAAAUAUAAGUCAUUUUGAAUAUUUUAAGAAAUUACAAAUGAUUUUUUUUCUUUCAACUGUAUCCUUAUUUAUAUUAGAUAUAAUACAACGAUGUGAGAUAAAAGUAACAAUGAGAGAUAAAUGAUAAUUUGUUCAAAUUACUCUUGAUUUUGUUAGAAAUUUAGAAAAAUUAAUUGCAUUUUUAAUUCUCGUAUAAAAAUCUUAAACGACUUAUAUUUUGGACAAAUAGAGUAAUAAACUCAACAAUAAUUUGAUUUAUGAGAAUUAAUUUAAACGAUCAAAUUAUCCUUAAUCUCAAAAUCAAGUUAUUGUAUUAUGAAUAAAGUUAAAAUUGGAAAAAAGAUUAUUUGUUAAAUAUGUUUUGAAAUCAAAUAGUUUUAUGAGUUAAAAAGAUUAGAAAUAAUCAUUUUUUAAAUUCAUUUGGUGUUAAAUUGGGAUGAUAAAUUAUCAAAAAAAAAAAAAAAAUAUAUAUAUAUAUAUAUAUUUGACAAACAGAUUGAAAGCUAGUUCUUUUGAAAGUUUACUGAGAACACAAAUUACAAGCUCAUAGUAGUUAGUAGCUUGAUUAAGGAAACCCAUGAAGGACAAAAUGACAGUGGCAAAUGCCUUUGAGACCAAAAGGCUUCAGCUUCAAUUUUUUAUAACGUAACAUUUAAUAUCUUUCUCUUUAUGAUUUUUAAAUUAUUGUAAUUGCUAUCAACAGUAUAAAGUAUAGAAAAUUCAUUAUAUAUAAUAUUGAAUAAAAAAAAAAAAAGGGUGAGAAAUGUCAUUAUUUAUAGAAUUAAUUCACACAAACAUAAAUGCGAAGCUUCAUUCUACCUUUUAGGUGCUACCAUUCACUGAAGGGGAACGCACGCAUCAUUGAAGCUCAACGCCUGUCUUUUGCACUUUUCAAACUGAAUCAUUUCAUUCGUGAAAUAAAUUGAUGGAUAAAGGGCAAUUGCCAAACAAUAUUAACGGCAAAAACAAACGAGUCUUUUUUUUUUUUCUUUUUCUUUUCUUUUCAUUAGAAUAUUUAAAGUAUUGGUUAGAGGUAUAAUUAUAAAAUAUAAUUGAUCUCAUAAUUAAUCUUUUCCUUUUCUUAAUAAUAAUCAUUAUAGUCUUGCUUUUGGUGUUAUAGUUGUUUUUUUUUUUUAAUAAUAAAAAAAUAAUGUAUUAUGUCAAUCGAAUGUGAUCUGAUUGGUAUUUCCAUUCACCUUGAGAAGUUUCAAAUUUUAGAUAGUUAACUAUCAGAGUUAUCGUCAAUUUUGCUUAUAAAACAACAAGAGAGCUACCUAUAUUAUGCAGCCCACAAAAAUUCUUUAUAAUAAAUUAAAAAAAUAUUAUUUUAUUAAAAUUGAUAUAUUAUAUUUGUUAUUUAAUAGUUUGAACUAGAAAAAUAAGCUACUAAAAUUCACACAGAUUUUCUUAAAUAUAAAUUUUUACUAUGAAAAAUAGAAAUCAAAGUCAGAAAACAGAAAUGAUACAAAAUAGACACGUAAUCAUAUUUGAUGAGCAUUUCUCAUAAUACACGUUAGCUUGUUUAGCUUGUUUCGUGUAAAUUGAUGAUCCCAUUCUGUUUCGACAUAAAUGGUAUCAUUGGUUAUUAUAAACAAUUUCAAAAAUUUUUGAGCUACCACCAUAAAUACAACUUGUAUGAUUUCAAUUUUCAAAUUUAAAAGUUAUCUAAUAUCUACUUUAUCAAUGGACCUACACCUUUCCAAAUUUCUUGUUAAUCUUAUGCAUUAGAAAAUUUAGCCAAAUAAAAUUGAUAUUAUAUAUCAAUUUUAUUUAUUUUUCAAUUUAAAAUCACAAGUUUAAUUAUCGGAAAAUGCAUAUACUAUGAAGAAAAAAUUUUUAUAAUCAACUAUCCAAAAGAGAUUAGUUUACACCAAUAUAGUAGAAGAAAAAUAGUGGAAGAACACGUGACGAUUCUAAUAUGAUAUACAUAAACUAAAAAUAUUUUAAAGGAGUCUUCACUUAUAAUUUUGUUUUCAAAAUUUAAUACUUGUAAUUUGUUUUAACCAACUAUUUACUAUUUUUAAUUGAUUUUGUAAACUCAAAACUCCAUUUAUUUUUCAAAAAAUAAUUUAUUUUUAAAAAAUAUUUUUAAAAGCAAAACAUACUUGAAAAUUUGAAAUAACACAUUUUCUAUUGUUUGGUUACAAUAUUGAAAAAUUGUUAAAAAAUAUUAAAGCUUUUAUAAGAUCGAAAAAAUUUAUAAUUAUAAAAAGUUUCACAUUUUAAAAUUUUAUUAUUUAAUACAACAUAAAUAUUUAUUACGUGCUUGAUUGUAAUUUGUAUCUAAGACUUAAUCAUAUUUUAUGGACCAAAGAUAUAUUUUGUAUAGAAUCCAGAUAGAAAUAAGAGAUUAUAUUCCUAAAUCCUUCGCUAACUCUCAAUGAACUAGCAAUCACUCCAAAAUACUUAUUGAAUUGGUAUUUCAAAUAUUUAUCUAAUAAAGAUUCCACCUACAACUCUAAUGAAAAUUCUUUACCUCUGUAUAAAAGAGGGAUCAAACUCCCUACUCACACUAUUUAGGCAAUGUAAUACCAAUAUAUUUCAUUCAAUUAUAAGUAUUUAUUAUUUAUUUACUGACUUAAACAUAAAAGUGAUUGCAGGCCUAGAUGAGACCUUUAUUAUUCGUUUAUGUCUUGCAGAUUUCUACGGACCUCUCUUUAUUUUUCCUUGUUCAUUUAUGUCUUACAGAUUUUUACAUAGGCGCUAUGGAUAGAUUUUUCUAAGUCUAUCAUUAUUAAAUAUGAGAAACAAUAUUAUAAAAAAAGAUAAAUUACGAUAUCUAUCGAUGACCGUGGUCGUGAAAAUAAUGAUUAAUUAAUAAUAAAUAUGUAUUUAUAAGUUUAUAAUAAAUUUAUCAGUAUCUGAAAAAUAUUUUUCUCUUUUAGAAAAAGAAAGUUAUAAAAAUGAUUUAGUUCUCUCUUUCUUAAGGAAAAUAUCAUCUGUUGCUAAUUUUCUUGAACACUUCAAACAUUAAAAAAAAAUCUAAAAAAUAUUAUUCAGACAAGUUAUUUCUCGAAAUUAAUGGAAUCUCAAUAUUAAUUUAUUAUUAUUUUUUCCAUUGAGAAAAAAAUAUAUUAGAUUUAUUCCACUAUUGAGAAUAAAGGAAAUCAUUUAAAAUAAGAAAGCUCAAAAAGUUAUAGCCGUAAUACUAAUAGCAUUAUUUCAAAUUUGUUUGACAUGAUGUAAUCAACCGAAAUGAUAAUUACAUUAUAUGAGUAAUUACAUUAUUUGAUUAGACUUUUUUUAAUAGCGUAGUAUAAUUGAGACUACGUGUAUAAUCUUCAUCACUUAAAUUGAUGUAAUACUCAUUACAUGAAAAAACACACAUAUUGUCUAUUACAUCAAGUAAAUGGAAUACCGAUUAUAUUAAGUCAUCCCAAUCAAAACUCUACCAUUCUAGAUUAUUUAGGCUGUGUUGGGUAAUAAAGUUUUGAGUGGCUUUUAAAGUUUUGACUGGUCAAAACGUUACUUAAAAAGUUGUUUGGUAACAUAGCGUUUGGACUAGCUUUUAGAGAUUAGAAUAACGUUUUGUGAAAAGUUAACUCACGUAACGUUUAGCUUUUAGCGUUUCAUGAAAAACUACUCAAACAGCUAACAACUAAACACUAUUAAAAUAGCAAAUAGCUACCAAAAUAGCUAAUUUUGCCGAACAUAUCCUUAAUACUACCACUUCACCACCACAACCACUAUCACCGCUUCACCACCACAGCACCACCUUAACACCCACCACAACCACUGCCACAAUUACUACUCCACCACCACCACCACCACUACUGUUCCAUCACUACUUCAACCACCAUUACCGCUCUGCAACGACAACCAUCACCAUUGUUCUACCAUCACCACUACUACCACCAUCACUGCUCCAUCACUAUCACCUCAACUACCACCACCGCUGCUGCUGCCUCAACUCCUACCAUCAUCGCUCCACCACCACUAUCACCACCAUCGCUUUACCACCACCACCAUGUGGUGGUGAUAUGAUUAGUGGUGAUGGUGUGCUAAUUAUAUUACAUAUUUACAAAAAAAAAAAAAAAGAACGAUGAUUAUAUUCCUAAAUUUUCUUGAUAAUAUUAUCAAACAUAGUAAUGAAAUCUUAAUUAAAUUACGUUUUUCAUCACAUUACUUCUUUAAUUACAUUAUAUUGCCUUACAUCAAACCAGACAUAGCGUUAGCAUGUAUAUCCUCAUACACAUCAAAACUUGACUCUAAUAUCUAUGAGAAAAAUGCACAGUUAAGCCCUUAAAUUUAAUCAGUUUUUCCAUUAAACUUUUAUUUAUGAAUAUUAAGUUUUUAAACUUUUAUUUUUUUUAAAAAAAUUAAACUCUAUUUAACCGAGAUUUAAACUUUUAUUUUUUUAAAUUAAACUCUUAUUUAAUUAUGAGUUAAACAAUUAUAAUCCCAUAUGUUAUACGCGGUUGAUGGGAAAACUUAAUCGAAUUGUUAAAUCUCUUAAACUUUUAUUUUUUGAAAAUUAAGUUUUUAAAUUUGUACUUUUGUUAAAGUGAGUAUUUAAAUUAUUUCCAUUAUCAGUGAUUUGAAUUUAUUAUUUACUCACUAUCGAUUUAGAACUUAAUUUUAACUUAAAUAAAAAUUGAAGGAUUCAAUAUUGAUAAAUGAAAUUGCAGGAGCUUAGUAGACAAAACUUGAAAAAUAAGAGGCUUAAGUACAUCUUUUACCAAAUAUAAUCAAGAGUUAAUUUACACUCACACAUAGGUGAGGAUAGGAUUAGGAUAGAAGUGUGGUAAGUGCCCGCGAACUUUGAGUUAUCCAUAUCUAUAUCUGUUUAGAGCUUUAAAAUCAAUUGUAUCUAUGUUAAAUCCGUUUAAAUACCUAUAUCAAAAUCUGUUUAAAAUUUUACUGUCCGAUCCAUUCAAAAUCUAUUUUAAAUACUUGUAUUUGAUGUUCAUAAAAUUUAAACCAUUUAAACACGAACUUAUUUAAAAAAGUAUCUUCCAUUGAUAAUGGAUAAAGUAUCAAGGAUACUCACAGUAAAACUCAUUUAAUAUAAUGGAUAACAAGUAACGAAUAUUCAAACUCAUUUAGUAAAACUCCUGAAUUCAAACGACAGGAUUUGCAAGUGAAGAGAGAUGGAACCUAAAACGGUUGGCUAUGUACUCAAUGUAGAUUCACUAACAAAGUACAACAAAUGCAAAUACCAAGUAAAAAGGAACAAAUGGUUAAGAAUUCAGACAAAGUCCUAACUUCAAAGUUCAAAGUUCAAACCAUAAAAUCAUUUCAGUAAGGAGAAAUCAAACUAAAACUUUUGAAUGUUAAAAUUUCAACUUUAACCACAGAACCAAAACCCUGUUAGCUAUGUACUAACACAAAGUGCAAGAAACACCGAGUACGAACUCAAGCACAGUAAGAUUGAGCUGGAUUGCCCAUAACCCAAAAACACUAGAAUGUGUCUGGUGUGGAGGGGUCCAGAAGCCAACUUAAAUAGAAGCAGAGGGACAACACUGGAAAUUAUGAUUUAAAAAAAAAAAAAAAAAAAAAACUAAAAAGCAAAGAGAGAAACAGACAAGAAAUAACCGUUGUAGGGGUGGCUUUUUGGGUUGGAUGCCAGGCUGACGCUUGAGCCCCCCUCAGAUGAUUCAGCUCACAUGGUCUAUCUGUACACUCUGGGUCCCACCCUCCACUUUCUCUCUCUACUACCCUCUUUGGAUUAGUUGUCAAAUGAUCCUUUUAUGUUAUCAUAUUACACACUUUCAUCCUAUCUAUUUCAAAGUUACUAACUUUAGUUAAUGAGAUUUAAUCUGCCAAAUGCAUAAAUUAAUAUCUAAAUUUUAUAAGAAGAGUCUAGUAGCACCUUUAAACGUUGAAAACUUCUUUUCGUAAAAUUAUAGCUAGUAAAUGCCUUAAUUUAAAAAACCGUAUUUAUUAAAUACUUAAACGUAUAUAAUUAUGUUUAUUAAAUAUUUAUCGGAUGAUUUAAAAUAUAAAAAUUUUAUUAUUUAAUAAAUUAUAUUAAAAGUUAUAUAAAAUGUUACACUUAUUGAAUAUAUUAUUUAGUAAUUGUUGUAAAAUUAAAAACCCUGUUUUUUUUUUUUUCAAAUUAAGUUGAUACUUAGUCUCAACUGUGCUUUUAUCCAUAAUUUUAAAUAAUUUAUUUGUAGAAACCCUAAAAACCAUAUAUUUUUCGUUGACAUAUCAUAAAAAUUAAAAUUAUUAAUUUCAAACUGUUUAAAUACUGGUAAAAUGUAAAAUAAUGCAAAUGGUGACAGUUUUUGCAACCAACUUUUUUUCUUGGAAAUUCUCUGUAUUACAAUCGUCUUUUAUAAUAUUUUUAUUAAUAUUAUUUUGUUCCAAACAUGCCCUUGUCUUAUCCAAAUAAUGCCCCGUACUCUCCUGCCCUUCUCUCUAUUCUUAUAAGGGCAGUGGCCUGUGGAUCAAAGACCACAGUCCCAAGAGAGAAGAGAAAGACAAAGCAAUUAAGCUCACAAGAGAGAAGCUCUUCUAUUUUCUAGAGUAAGAAAGAAGAAAGAAGACGAUGGCCAAGGAAGUAAGUGAAGAAACGCAAACUACCCAUGCAAAGGAUUAUGUUGAUCCACCACCUGCGCCACUGAUCGACAUGGCUGAAAUCAAGCUCUGGUCUUUCUACAGAGCUUUAAUAGCUGAGUUCAUAGCCACUCUCCUUUUCCUUUACAUAACUGUAGCCACUGUAAUUGGCUACAAGAAACAAACUGAUCCAUGUGGUGGAGUUGGUCUUUUGGGCAUUGCAUGGGCCUUUGGUGGCAUGAUCUUUAUCCUUGUUUACUGCACUGCCGGUAUAUCUGGUAAGUAAAAAAAAAAGGAACUAUUUCUCUAAGUUACUAGUACCCAAAUGGGUAUUUAUUAAGUUUUAGGUUUCUGUGAAGUUUCUUUGUGGAUUUGGUCAUUCAACUUGAAAAAUAACAAAACCCAUUUGUUUUCAAGACCUGUUUAAUAAUGGGUUUUCCUUAUUUUGGUUACAGGUGGUCAUAUUAACCCAGCAGUGACCUUUGGGCUGUUUUUAGCAAGAAAGGUGUCACUAAUUCGAGCCUUGGCUUACAUGGUGGCUCAGUGUUUAGGUGCCAUCUGUGGUGUAGGGUUGGUCAAAGCUUUUAUGAAGAAUCCAUAUAAUCAUCUUGGUGGUGGUGCUAACUCUGUAAAUACCGGCUAUAGCAAAGGAACUGCUUUGGGUGCUGAGAUCAUCGGCACUUUUGUUCUAGUCUACACUGUUUUCUCUGCAACUGACCCCAAGAGAAGUGCACGUGACUCACACGUUCCUGUAUGUUAUCAACCAUAGCCUAGUAUAGCUCUCCUCUUUCAUGUCAAAGAGUUCAAAUCUAAACUUUGUUUUGGUUAUGUUUGGUUGCAGAUUUUGGCUCCACUUCCAAUUGGGUUUGCAGUUUUUAUGGUUCACUUGGCUACCAUACCCAUUACUGGUACUGGUAUUAACCCAGCGAGGAGCUUCGGUGCUGCUGUUAUUUACAACAAUGAUAAAGUCUGGGAUGAUCAUGUAAGCCUCUUGAUAGUCAACCAGAAACUUAUUUUUCUUGAUUUUAUGGUUGUUUUGAAGUUGGUGCUUUUUAACAUAAAACAUCAGAAGUAGGUUAAUUUUCAAGAAUAUGUUUAUCUUCUUGAUAAAAUAAUUUAAUUUCCUUUUUAAUUAUUUUUUGGAUGGGCAGUGGAUUUUCUGGGUUGGACCGUUUGUUGGAGCAAUUGCAGCAGCUGCAUACCAUCAAUACAUACUGAGAGCAGCAGCUAUCAAAGCUUUGGGAUCUUUCCGCAGCAACCCCACCAACUAAAAUGAAAGAAAGAACGAAAGAAAGAAAAACAAGAAAAAAAAAAAAAACCAAAGGCUUUGUGUAGCUAUCUUUAGUCUCUAGUCUUUCUUUUUCUCUAUUUGUUUGUUUGUUGUGUGUAAUGAGAGGAUUAUGAUGAUGACCCUUCUUUCUUCUUUCUUUUUUUACUUCAUUUUUUCUUUUCUUAUUGUUCUUUUGUAUCAUUGUUAAUGAGUAGUGCUGUUCUUUUUUCUUUCUUUUGAUCAUAUUUAAUUGCUUUGUGCAGUGUAGAACGUUCUCUCUCAACACUCUUUUAAUAAUUAGCCACUAAAUAAACUACCAGCUAACUAAAUUUUUAUCCUCUCGACCUUCAUUACAGCGGUGCUAGUGAAUUUGUGAGUAGCGGUUAGGCCAUCUUCGGGAACAGUUUUUUCAUAUGGC
rnacentral:lncRNA from 1 species